rnacentral:lncRNA from 1 species
GUUGAACGAACCCAUGUGGAAUCCGGUGAUGCCCUCCUUAACCGUGUCUACAAGUCCUCCGGUUGAUGAACAUAUUGGAAUCUGAAAAAAUGCAAUUUUGAUGUUGAUGGUCAUUUUUCCCACUUUCUCUACUUUAAUAAGUUGUAUUUUCUAACACAUUAUAGAAAAUCAAGAUAUAACAUGAUAAGAAAGAAAUUUCUACUAAUAUUUUGACUUUAUGUACUCAAACUGGAAAUGUAACAAGGCAAGUUAGAAAUUCUUA